GACGAAGGUGGCAAGCGUUGUUCGGAUUCACUGGGCAUAAAGGGCGCGUAGGCGGUUCCAUAAGCGGCAUGUGAAAGCCCCCGGCUCAACCGGGGAAGUGCGUGCCGGACUGUGGUUCUAGAGGGUGGUAGGGGGGACUGGAACUCUCGGUGGAGCGGUGAAAUGCGUAGAUAUCGAGAGGAACACCGGUGGCGAAGGCGAGUCCCUGGUCCACUUCUGACGCUGAGGCGCGAAAGCGUGGGUAGCAAACAGG
rnacentral:rRNA from 1 species